CUACGGGUGGCUGCAGUGGGGAAUAUUGCGCAAUGGGCGAAAGCCUGACGCAGCAACGCCGCGUGAGGGAUGACGGCCUUCGGGUUGUAAACCUCUUUCAGCAGGGAAGAAGCGAAAGUGACGGUACCUGCAGAAGAAGCACCGGCUAACUACGUGCCAGCAGCCGCGGUAAUACGUAGGGUGCAAGCGUUGUCCGGAUUUAUUGGGCGUAAAGAGCUCGUAGGCGGUUAGUCACGUCGGAUGUGAAAACCCAAGGCUUAACCUUGGGCCUGCAUUCGAUACGGGCUGACUAGAGUGUUGUAGGGGAGACUGGAACUCCUGGUGUAGCGGUGAAAUGCGCAGAUAUCAGGAAGAACACCGGUGGCGAAGGCGGGUCUCUGGGCAACUACUGACGCUGAGGAGCGAAAGCGUGGGGAGCAAACAGGAUUAGAUACCCCGGUAGUC
rnacentral:rRNA from 1 species